CACAGAGCUCUGUUCUCCCAUAUGGAACAGCGGCGCCCUGAUGCCAAACAGAAGAAUAUUUCCUGGCAGCAUCGUUUGUUGUAAGUCUUAAAAGAUGCUCUGAUCACAAAGAAGAAAGUGGAGCACACACUCCAGCCUUUCCUCACCACGAGGGCAGCCGAGCAAUUUCAAGAGGCAGCAGCAGGAGGUUGGCUCCUUUCCCUUGUCAGGAACUUCAAAACACCCCCAAAGAAAGAGGAAUCUCCAUAUCCAAUUAAGAGUGGGGGACACCACAAAGGUCUACAGUGGUCACCAGGGAUGCAUGUCAGGCAUGUGCAGCAUGUUAUGGAAUCAUCUGCAAGGAGAUAGAAGACCAUGCAGAAACAAAGACAACCCCAGAG
rnacentral:lncRNA from 1 species